UGGCGGCAUGCCUUACACAUGCAAGUCGAACGGCAGCGCGGGGCAACCUGGCGGCGAGUGGCGAACGGGUGAGUAAUAUAUCGGAACGUACCCUGGAGUGGGGGAUAACGUAGCGAAAGUUACGCUAAUACCGCAUACGAUCUAAGGAUGAAAGUGGGGGAUCGCAAGACCUCAUGCUCCUGGAGCGGCCGAUAUCUGAUUAGCUAGUUGGGGGGGUAAUGGCCCACCAAGGCAUCGAUCAGUAGCUGGUCUGAGAGGACGACCAGCCACACUGGAACUGAGACACGGUCCAGACUCCUACGGGAGGCAGCAGUGGGGAAUUUUGGACAAUGGGCGCAAGCCUGAUCCAGCAAUGCCGCGUGAGUGAAGAAGGCCUUCGGGUUGUAAAGCUCUUUUGUCAGGGAAGAAACGGCCUGUUCUAAUACAGUGGGCUAAUGACGGUACCUGAAGAAUAAGCACCGGCUAACUACGUGCCAGCAGCCGCGGUAAUACGUAGGGUGCAAGCGUUAAUCGGAAUUACUGGGCGUAAAGCGUGCGCAGGCGGUUUUGUAAGUCUGUCGUGAAAUCCCCGGGCUCAACCUGGGAAUGGCGAUGGAGACUGCAAGGCUAGAGUUUGGCAGAGGGGGGUAGAAUUCCACGUGUAGCAGUGAAAUGCGUAGAUAUGUGGAGGAACACCGAUGGCGAAGGCAGCCCCCUGGGUCAAGACUGACGCUCAUGCACGAAAGCG
rnacentral:rRNA from 1 species